rnacentral:rRNA from 1 species
AUGCGGUCGGGCCGCAGAGGAAUCGAGGGCACGUUCCUUGCUUUCGGCCCGGGUGUGUCACUGCACUACAAGGUGUACAAGCUGCUCAAGGAUCGUGAUACCUACUCUACUCAUAAGCCAUCGUCCAAGGAGCCAAGGGCCAAGGUGGUGUACUCAGCAGCGGUGUUCUCGUCACAAUAUAGACAAUGGAAGUUGCGCAAGUUUAAUCCAGGACGUUGCGCCCCUGGGCACCUCCACAAUGUGAAGGGUUCUGCAUGUGAUAGUAAUUGGCCGUCGGCUCGCGAGAAUGGUGUCGUCAUUAUCCUGCACUACUCGAAGAUGACGUACGAUAUGGUUCAGCUCCCGGGAGAUGUCUACAACUACGCAGGGAAGACGUAUCAGCUACCUCGAAGGUCCCUCUUGGCGAACUAUGAGAACUAG